AUCGUAACUCCUACGGGAGGCAGCAGUGGGGAAUAUUGGACAAUGGGCGAGAGCCUGAUCCAGCCAUGCCGCGUGUGUGAAGAAGGUCUUCGGAUUGUAAAGCACUUUAAGUUGGGAGGAAGGGUUGUAGAUUAAUACUCUGCAAUUUUGACGUUACCGACAGAAUAAGCACCGGCUAACUCUGUGCCAGCAGCCGCGGUAAUACAGAGAGUGCAAGCGUUAAUCGGAAUUACUGGGCGUAAAGCGCGCGUAGGUGGUUUGUUAAGUUGGAUGUGAAAUCCCCGGGCUCAACCUGGGAACUGCAUCCAAAACUGGCAAGCUAGAGUAUGGUAGAGGGUGGUGGAAUUUCCUGUGUAGCGGUGAAAUGCGUAGAUAUAGGAAGGAACACCAGUGGCGAAGGCGACCACCUGGACUGAUACUGACACUGAGGUGCGAAAGCGUGGGGAGCAAACAGGAUUAGAUACCCUAGUAGUCCUAGAGC
rnacentral:rRNA from 1 species